UGUUGGAGGAACUAAAAGCACAAUCAGCUUGAUGUUGAGGAGAAGGGCUGUGCAGCAGAGAGGCUGUUUAGUUUCUUCAUUCUACUGCAGUGGAAGAACAUUGUUCAUCUGCUGUCUGUUUGGCUUCAACUCCUCCAAAGACAUGUUGCUUUACCUCUUUUGGUUUUUCUCUCACUUCAUAGCCAUGGGCUCCAUGAACAGCAUAAAGCCAGAAAGUCCUGAAGAAGUUGUUGAAGAGAGAAGAACCAUCAGCCUGACCUGUAAAUAUGAGGGUGCUAUCAGCAAUAUCCAGUGGUACCAACAAUACCAGAGAUCCAGACCAGAGUUCCUGCUCUACAUCACAGAGGGAGGAUUGAUUCAUCGAACUCUUUCUGAUUUCACAGCUCACAUUAACAAGACAGAGAAACGUGUAGAUCUGGAGAUCAUCUCAGCUAAAGUGACUGACUCUGCUGUGUACUACUGUGCUCUGCAGCCCACAGUGACAGGAAACACCAAAACUCUGUACAAAAACCUUUGGAGCAAAGACAACACAAUACUCCACAACAUCCACUAGAGGGAGUCACACACCACCUAUUCUCACAUUACAUGCUGAUCUUACCCAAAUCCAAUCUUUUGGCCACUAAGGGACUCAAAUCUGAUUUUAUCAAGCAAGUACUGAUUUCCAAAUCUGAUUUUACACAGUAAUAGGUCACUUGCAUAUGUGGCCCCUAGAUCCGCUUCAUAUCUGAUCUCUGCUCCUGUCAGAACAGUCCAACUGGAAUUCAUGUUUUUUUAUUUUCUUCUUUUACAUCUCACCACCACAAUCACUGUCCCUGCAGAAACGUCAAAAACCAACUAUAACUUAACUUAAUCAUAACUUUUCCCUAUCAGUAUGCAAAUCAAAACGAAAAUCAACGACAUAUGCAUUAAUUUUUUAGCAAACUAUUUUUAAUUUCUAUUCAAGUUGGAAGGGAAGAUAAAGCAAAGUGCACUUUACAGGAGUUCUCUAUUCACCCACAAAGUACAACACAAACCAUAAAAAAAAACAUCAUAGAAAGUACAACAGCACAAUAGUAUAAUCGAAUGUUUUCUUACCUUACAGUUCUCUCAAGUUGCCUUUUGCUUCAAACUCUAUCUCAAUGGGCUUCUUUAAGGUGAAAAUGAGCCGGAAUGUUGAAAUGUGAAUUCCUUGUGUUUCUGGUUUGCGAAUCUGAUCCGAAAAAAUGCAAAAUGGACGGAAAAUGAUCAACUUUCUAGAGUCUUCAUCUUCUCAUCACUCUUCAGAAAACAUCCAGAAUUAUUCUUCCUGGCAGACC